CCGCCACCGCCGCGGAUCCCCAAGGGUGUGGUCGCGUUGUACUAGACAAAGUGUGGUCGCUGCCGUCCUCUCCUCGUCCGACCUUGACCUCAUCCCUUCGACUCCGGUGACUCCUCUGUGGCCCGGGCGGCCCUGGCCGACGCCGUCACAGCCAACGCCGGCCUCACCUCUGCGGCCUCACGCACUGCCGCCGCCGAGGAGCCGGCCUGAUAGGGUCUGGUGUGAAAGAGUUGGAGCAAGGAGGACGUGUGCGGCCACUUCGCGCUUCGGCGAGAUCCUCAAGGUUGUCAUCGCAGACAAGGGCACUGGAAGAUCCAAGGGCGGCGGAUUCGAAGCGGAGGCGGCCAUUAGGGCGUGCUUGGGUCCGUACCCGGUGAUUGACGGCUGGAGUGCCAACUGCAACCUCGCCUGCCUCAAGGUCCAAGGCGCCACAACGAAAACGCCCACCUCGAUACUCAGCUUCAAGGGAUGUGUCCUGCCACGGGUAGUGCCAUCACACCGGCACAAUGAACUAGCUCAGUUUACAGCACUGCAAAUUAUCUAGAUAUCCCUCCCCUUGUUACUUAUUAAGCCUCUAAUCACUAAUUUCCAGCAAAGGCUUUUUUACAUCAGUUUUCCAGCAAAAGUUUAUGAUAAAUAAUGUUGAUUUUUUGUAACACAGUUAACAUCCCUUCCUGUUUAUUUCCAUACCUUUUAUUUUAUUUUAUUUUGUGAUGUUGUGGGAGUCUAUAGAACACAUGUCAUUAAAAUGUUUAUCCCAAACCAGUUCUUUGCAGGUUUAUUAAUGAUGAUCUAUGCAUCGGUUUCUUACUUUGUGAACUGAAAGAUUUUGUUUGCUCCUCCUAUUGAAUAUUUACAUUGGGACUAUAUUUUUUUGCAGCAAAUCCUCAUCGGAAUUGUAGAUUAAGGAUUAGUAUUAUGGCUUAAGUAUAAUGAUUCUACUCUUAUAUAGCAAGUAUUCAAAUAUAGCAUGUCGUACAAGAAUGUAAGAUGUCUGCACCUGCAUUACAAUGAUUGGAGUUACUGUAAUAAUUCUUGCUGGUUAGUUACCUCUGCUCCUAGCUAGCCAAAUUAGAACUGAUACUUACAUGUGUAGGAUUGUUGUGUGAGAGUCUCGUAGAUUGGCACAUGGAUGGAAAAUAAGUUUCAGUUUUAGCUUGCUGUACUGAUCAUGGCUAUGUUGUGGAAGAGUUCUUGCAGGCAGUGUUCACAAGUACAUCCACUCACGACCUCUCCCAUGCUGCAGAUGCAGAAGGGUAUUUUGUGAAAAAUGAGGGAACAGCUACUCUGGUGGUCCUCAUCCUCAUCCGGCCUUAAUUCCAAGGACUGUUUUGUGAGAGUCUCAUAGAUUAGCACAUGGAUGGAUAAUAAGUUUCAGCUUUAGCUUGUUGUACUGAUCAAGGCUAUGUUGUGGAAGAGUUCUUGCAUGCAGUGCAAGCACAUCCACUCACGACCUCUCCCAUGCUGCAGCUACAGCCAAAAAUGAACAUCUGGUUGAUAAGGUCAAAGAAGAAAGCUCCUAUCAUUAGCCCUAUUAUUUAAUGCAUGUGUCUGAACUCAAGUAGCUUAUCUUAAAGAGUAAUCAGUACAACAGUAGCUAUAUCUGUGGCAGCUCCGGAGGUGGCCGCCCAGAAGAUCAACUCAGCGACAUGACAAGCCUGCCGCCUCAAAGCGAAGGCAGAGGAGGGGCAACCGGCAAAAAGAAGGGUGUCUCGAGAGGCGGGCAGGGUCGUGGACGCGGUGCAGGUGUUAGUUGGGGCCUCGAACGAGGGGUGUCGCCGUCGUCGCCUUCCAUGCACACUCCCUGGCCAAAGCAAUAUCAGCCACGCUACUUAAACGUCACCAAGCAGAUCGGUCGGUAGUCCUCGGCCAUCGCUGUCGGGCACGUGCCAUAUUACAUUGACGUCAACACAGCACCACCUCAUUUCGUUGAUUGGCAUCACCGCAACUCGACUGGUCGCGGACACCAGGAGUGGAUCAUCUCUGUGACCGCUCUUUGUUCAUGCGUACGUCUCAAUCGGGUGAGACGACAUAUGACGACGUGGAUAGACAACUAUUGGAGAUGAUUCAUGACAA